rnacentral:rRNA from 1 species
UACGUAGGGUGCAAGCGUUGUCCGGAAUUAUUGGGCGUAAAGAGCUCGUAGGCGGUCUGUUGCGUCGGCUGUGAAAACCCGGGGCUCAACCCCGAGCCUGCAGUCGAUACGGGCAGACUAGAGUGCUGUAGGGGAGACUGGAAUUCCUGGUGUAGCGGUGAAAUGCGCAGAUAUCAGGAGGAACACCGGUGGCGAAGGCGGGUCUCUGGGCCGAUACUGACGCUGGAGGAGCGAAAGCGUGGGGAGCGAACAGG